AGAACCAGAACCAUCAGUCAGAGGCUGGACCCAAACAGAACCAGAACCAUCAGUCAGAGUGAUGUCCCUGUUGGUCCUGUUGGGUCAGGUUGUCCCUCACUCUAACCGGUUCUGGUCUGAAUUGGGUCAGAGGUCAAACCCAUGUUCAGGAACCAGAACUGAACCUGCUGAUCCAGAACCACUUUGGAUGAUGGAGAGACGAGGUCUGGACCAGGAGGUUCUGGAUCAUUAGUCCUGGAUCAGUGAGUGGUUCUAACUCGGUUCUGACUGGAGUCAAACCCACAUUAACCUGCUGAAGGUCCGACUGACCCAACUGGCUCGUUUUGGACCAGCACCGUGACAGCGGUCCCUUCCUUCACUUCAUCAUGGUCAGUGAAGAUCCGGACCUUCACUGGACAGGUUCUGGACCAGUUGAUGGAGCCGGGCCCAGGUUCUGGACGGUUGAUGGAGCCGGGCCCAGGUUCUGGACAGGUUCUGGACAGUUGAUGGAGCCGGGCCCAGGUUCUGGACAGGUUCUGGACAGUUGAUGGAGCCGGGCCCAGGUUCUGGACAGGUUCUGGACAGUUGAUGGAGCCGGGCCCAGGUUCUGGACAGGUUCUGGACAGUUGAUGGAGCCGGGCCCAGGUUCUGGACAGGUUCUGGACAGUUGAUGGAGCCGGGCCCAGGUUCUGGACAGGUUCUGGACAGUUGAUGGAGCCGGGCCUGCCUGCUGCUUCCUGUCUCUUGUGUAAUGUGAUCCAUGCUGACGCUCAGCACCGGGCCCAUUAGGCCCGGAUGGAGCCACUAAUGAGUGCUGAUGGAUUGGACCAGAACCUGGACCACUGAGUGCAGCGGCUCCAUCGAUUCAAUGUUCGGCCCAAAGACAGAAUAAAUAAACAAAGCCCCAGCUGCACACAAACAGUUCUGCUUGUCAGAACAGGACCAGAACCCACAGAACCAGCUGGACCUCUGACACUGUGAGCACAUCCAAAGAACUUUAGAUCAACAAAAAGUCCAAAUUAAGAUGAUAAACCAGCGGAGCUAAUGUGUCCAAUCAGAGCAAAGCUGGUGUGGAAAGCUGGGCGGAGCCUGAUCAGACCACUGGAGCUAACCAAUCAGAGCAGAAGAAAGAAGACUGCGUGUUUUAUAGGAACGUAUCUCAAACAACAGAUUACACGACUUUUACAGAUUAAACCCUUUUACAGAUCAUGACUUUGAGAGAUUACGAGUUUUACAGAACAAUUUACAGAUUACGGCGGUUACAGAUUAGUUUUUACAGAUUACGGUUUUUCAGAUUAUGACUGUUACAGAUUACGCAUCUUUUACUGAUUAAGGUUGUAACAGAUUUCAACUUUUACAGAUAACGAUUUACGGAUUAGGGCUGUUACAGAUUACGACUGUCACAGAUGACGACUUUUACCGAAUGACCUUACAGAUUAUGAUUUUUACAGAACGACUUUACAGAUUACAACUUUUACAGAACGACUUUACAGAUUACGACUUUUAAAUAACAACUUCUACAGAUUACAACUUUUACAGAAUGACUUUACAGAUUACAAUUUUUACAGAACUACUUUACAGAUUACGACUGUUAAGAUUAGUUUUUACAGAUAACGACUUUUACAGAGUAUGACUGUUACAACCGUUACAGAUUACGACUGUUACAGAUUAUGACUGUUACAGAUUAUGACUGUUACAGAUUAUGAUUGUUAAAGAUUAGUUUUUACAGAUGACUUUAACAGAUUUCAACCAUUACAGAUUACGACUGUUACAGAUUAAAUUUUACAUAUUAUGACUGUUACAGAUUACGACUGUNUUACAGAUUACGACUGUUACAGAUUAAAUUUUACAUAUUAUGACUGUUACAGAUUACGACUGUCACAGAUUUUUAAUCUCAGAUGAAGG